CGCCGUUCGCGUUCUCCGCCUGCUGAGCUGGGGUUCAAUAAAGAGGCAUUUGUGUCUCAGACGAGGAUGAUGAUUUGGACAUUGCUGUAACUCAAUCUUCACUUCUCUCCUAAUGUAGUUUUAUUCUUCAAUUAUAGAAUUACAUAUUCUUUUUUAAAUAAACAAAAAUCCUAAGAUUACUCCUAAAGAAAUGAGGUCACACCUCCAGGUAUAAACCUGUAAAUAUUUAGGAAAGGUCAAAUUAAAGUCAGUUCUGAAUGUUUUUGUGUAUUUUGGGUCAUCCGUCCAAAUCUGAUUUGUCCUGUUUGUGGUCAAAAGGUUGCUGGAGCCUAUCCUAGCAGGUCAAAGGGAGAGGAAGCCCGCCCUCCACCAACAGACUGUUUAGACCUAAAAAAAAAAAAGAAAUCUUGUGUUGAGACCGGAGGAGGAAGCUGGGAUUUGAACCAGCACCUUCCUGCUGCCCCACCAUGCAGUCCCAGUUUUUAAGAAUGUGUCACUUUUUUCUAAAAUCUUUCAUAUUUCCAAAAAAACUCUAUUGUCCUUUCACCGUUAUGUGAUCGUCGGUACAUAAAGAUUUUUGUGAACAUACAAAGUGAGGAUUACCGGGCAAAAAUCCAAUUCAUUAAAAGGUUUUUUUAAAAGCCUUUUAGCAACUUUAAAAAAAAAAAAGUUCCAGCAACAACGAUCCAAGCAGAUGUUUUAGGGGGAUUUCCUCUUCUUCAUGUUGUAGUUUUACCGUGACACCCCCAUUUCUGUCGUUGUCCUUCAAAGCUAACACGUUUUUAGAUUUGAAAUGUUUUAUUUAAUUUAAAUGAUUGUGGAAUAAAUCCUUCUCCUGGCUUUGCGUGUUUGGAUCUCGUGUGUUUUCUUUUUUUUUUACCUUUUAAAAAAACGACUUAACAAAAGGCGGUAGCAGAAAACCUGAGUGCCGGCUGUCCCUUAAAGGACAGAUAUUUUAAACCUCCUGUUGGGUCUGCAUGGAGUUUGUUGGAAAAGGUUAUUUCUGGAUUGUUUGUUUCAUUUCUUAAUGAGAUCCCAUUUCUUAUCUGCAGGUCUCAGUGGCAGAGAGGAAACGGCGUGUACUUGAAGUCGGACACACCUCACCUUUCCUUCCACUUUCCACUUGAGGUUUCCUCCUGGAGCAUCCUGACUCAUGCCGCCCCCCUCCUAUAGCCCCCCAUCCUCUGGGAGCAGCCGUGAGGC
rnacentral:lncRNA from 1 species